GGCGGCGUCUCCCUUCCCCUCCCCUCCCCUCCCCUCCCCUCCCCUCAGUCCCGCUCGGCAGCCGUGGCGGCAGCACCAGCCUCGGUAGCGGUGCCGCGUCCUCCUCCUCGUCCUUUCCCCGCGCCCCGGGGCACGAUGCAGUUUAUGUUGCUUUUUAGUCGUCAGGGGAAACUGAGACUUCAGAAGUGGUAUGUCCCAUUAUCUGACAAAGAAAAGAAGAAAAUCACAAGGGAACUUGUUCAAACAGUAUUAGCCCGCAAACCGAAAAUGUGCAGCUUCCUGGAAUGGAGAGACCUGAAGAUUGUCUACAAAAGAUACGCAAGCCUUUAUUUCUGCUGUGCUAUUGAAGAUCAGGACAAUGAACUAAUAACUCUGGAAAUAAUUCACCGCUACGUGGAACUUCUUGACAAGUAUUUUGGCAGUGUAUGUGAACUUGAUAUCAUCUUCAAUUUUGAAAAAGCCUAUUUCAUUCUGGAUGAAUUCCUUUUGGGAGGGGAAGUUCAAGAGACUUCCAAGAAAAAUGUUCUUAAAGCUAUUGAGCAGGCAGAUCUUUUACAGGAGAGCCAGAAUGAAGACUGGGGAGGUUUGUCUGAGGAUAUCUUAUGAUUAAGAGCAAUCUAAGGCAUUAGCCCUUUUGACCCCCAUCUAAAUGAUUGGAAGCAGAGACCCCACGUAGUGUACUGGAAGAAAUUGGAUUGACAUAAAUCUUCUCAUCAGCUGAUGACAUCUCAGUGUUUCAUACUAUAAAUGUUCACUGCCUUCAUUGUAAUGUUUAGCUAAUGGUGUAAAAUGCUGUUUGUCAGUAUUACUGUUUUGCUAAGCUGCUUCAUUCAGGCCUCCAAGAAAAAUACACUUCAAAAAGGGAACAGAAAUUAAAGUCUAAAAAUCAUAAAUGAAAGGGAAAUAGAGUUAAAUUAAUUUAAUAUCUUUUUUCAUUGCAUUUACAGGAUAAUUGCAUUUGAUUUAAAUAGUGUACUGUUUUUUAUAAGCAAAUGACUUCAGGAACUAAAUUCAUUGUGACUUAGCAUAUCUAAAUGAAAAGAGACUACAUGGAUAACUUUAAAAUUUAAAAUGUUACAGUGUAGAACUUGUGUUUAUACAACCAAAGACUUCUGUUCAUCUACAUUUUAAGUCAACACUUGCGAUAAUUCUACUUUGUUUCGGUUGAUACAUAAAGAUUGGAAAUAACUGUUUACUACUGAAUUUGUCAUUAUACCAAAGAAUCCUGUUAGGAUCUGCUUGUCAAACUGGUAAAAACUGUUAAGGUGACAUCGGUUUUAACAAGAAAACUGCAAACUGAUCAUUCAGGAGAAAUUAAAGUGUAAUCAUCUUGAGUAAAACUGUGCAAGUUAUUAUAUGAUAAAGGGGAGCCAUCUAGUAAAAAAUAGUAUCCUUCCAAAUAAGGAAACUUUUGAAAUCUUAUAUUAGCUUACUCUGAACAUAAACCGAAAAAGGGAGUUAGCCUUUCUAACAGAACAGAGGGAUGCAUAAUUAAAAUGGGAUAAUUUUGAUGAUAAAAAAGAGGGAGCUUUACAAAAGGGAUUUCUCAUGUUCUUAUUUCAGACUCUAGAAAUUAAUUUGUGUUUAUUGCUGUUUUAUAGUUAUUCUUUAAUGGAUAUAUGACCGCCUAUAUAUGACUUAGUGUGCUUUAAUCAGCUUCAUUUUGACUACUUUUUGUGACUUACACCUUAUGCACAGGUGAUAUAUCCCUUAUGAAACUACCAAUUGGUGUACAGUGCAACUAAUUAAAGUGAGAACUUUUAAAAAUUAGGUUUGUAUACUAGACUCUUAAACUAUAAAUCAGGCAAAGUUAUGUUUAGUAGUACUUUGAUACUUCUGCCCAGCUUUCAGUAAUUAUUCACUGAAAGUAUUUUCACAUAAGGAAAUUUCAGUAAUGUAUGCUUUUGAAGUUUGAGAAGGCAGUGCCACACUUGGGGGUAGCAAAGUUGUGGUCCCCUACAACAUGAGGAUUUGCUUCCCCUCUCUCUUCCUCUCCCUGCUCCUAAUAAUAUCACUGUGGAAGUCAAUGUUUUUGCUUAUUUACUGCAGUGUAUAGUGUCACAAAUAUAGGUUGUAAGUUCACAAAACUUAGCUUUGGUGGUGUUGCUGGAAGCAGUCAUGCCCUGCUCUCACAAGCCUAAUUUAUACAGCCAUCCAGAGAGCUAGACUGUAAAUUUGACCUAGGUUAAAAUUAACCCAGCAGAACUGGGUUAAUGUUAACACUUAGUGGUCCCCUGAUCCAGACCGCAGUAUAAAUGCUUGUGGCAGUGGAAGGGACAAGCUAGAGGCCAGGCCAGGAGGGCCUGUGCCUGGCUGGGGCAGUACCUGUCAGAGGCAGUGCUGGGGAAAGGCUUGUGAACCUGCAGCCUCACCGUUUUCCUGUCUGGCCAUGCCAUUCCAGGGAUUUAAACAUAAUUGCUAGAGAUCAUGUUUCACCUGAGGUACGCAAAAGCACUGUUUUGCAUUUCAUCAGUGUACAGGGACAGGUGAGGUUCAUGUGGAAUGACCCUGUGUAUGAUACUGAAGUGGUUAAAUUACCUUAAUUUAAGUAAAACCUGAAGCAAUUUUAUAUGUAUUAAACAUGUUUUUAAAGUUUACAUGUCAUGUGUAUGUGCUUGGCUGGAUUAAGCUUUGUUGUGAUUGUGACAAAUAAGCUGUUUGACCUCUGUCGUCUUACCACAUUAGUUUAGUCAUAAUAAAUGUCCAUUUUUACAUCA